rnacentral:rRNA from 1 species
UACGAAGGGGGCUAGCGUUGCUCGGAAUCACUGGGCGUAAAGGGUGCGUAGGCGGGUCUUUAAGUCAGGGGUGAAAUCCUGGAGCUCAACUCCAGAACUGCCUUUGAUACUGAGGAUCUUGAGUUCGGGAGAGGUGAGUGGAACUGCGAGUGUAGAGGUGAAAUUCGUAGAUAUUCGCAAGAACACCAGUGGCGAAGGCGGCUCACUGGCCCGGUACUGACGCUGAGGUGCGAAAGCGUGGGGAGCAAACA